UUCAGUUCCUAAGUCCUCUAUUUUGCUCUUUUCUUUUCUGCCUACUUUAAAUCUUCUGUGUACUUUUUGUUCUUUUCUUUUCUUUUUCUUUUUUUUUUUUUUUUUUUUUUUUGAGACAGAGUCUUGCUCUGUCACCCAGGCUGGAGUGCAAUGGCGCUAUCUACUGCAGCCUCUGCCUUCCAGGUUCAAGCGAUUCUCCUGCCUCAGCCUCCCCAGUAGCUGGGAUUACAGACGUGCGCCACCACGUCUACGUAAUUUUUGUAUUUUUAGUGGAGACAGGCUCUCACCAUGUUGACCAGGCUGGUCUCGAACUCCCGACCUCAAGUGAUCUGCCGGCCUCGGCCUCCCAAAGUGCUGGGAUUACAGGCGUGAACCACCACUCCUGGCCCUUCUGUUACUUUUCCACUGCUGUUGAGAUAGAAGUCACUGUUGGGAUCCAACCUUUUUGUUUGUGUAAACUGAUCCUGGGGAAGCAGGAAGAUACUCCAAGGAAACAUCAGAAACCCAGGAGGCAGACAGAAGAGGACCCUGGUUUCCCCAACAGCCAAACCAUAGCACUCACUGCUCUAAACUGCCUUUCUGAGAGCUGAUUAUUUUCCACAUUUGAAAAAUGGCCAAGCUGAGUCAAAAGAUCCUCCCGUGAAACAGCUAGCUCACUCGGGGGUAAUUCUAAGCACUGUAGAUUCCUCCAAACACCUGUCUUUGCAAACCAAGCAACUUUUCCAGUGUACAAUAAGACAAUUAAGAGGAACAAAGCCAUUCUAGCCCUCUCUUCACUCACCUUUUUCUUUGUCUAUGUGAUUUCAACAUCAAGUUAAUUGGCAAUUGCGGUUACCAUAAAGUGCUUCCUUGCCAGUUU